AUUAAAUAACAUUAACAAUAUUAAAGGAAAUUGAAAUUGAAAUUAAACAUUGCGGGCUUCGGUGGUUACCAAACAGCUGAUGUUGAAUUACAGUAACAAAAGGGAAAGAUAAAAGUUAAUGCCAUUAAAAAUGUUAAAGAGUGCAAUCAAAGGGCUAUAAAUCAACCAUGUUAAGCAAAUUAAAGGCGAUUUCUGUUGGGCUACAGCAAAGAAGUAAAUUUACCAUCAAUAAACGUAAUGCCGAGGAGAAUCAUAAUGAUAAAUAAUUGAAGAUAAAAGUUCCGUCAGCAUCCGGAUCAAUCUGAAUGGUCUUCUAAGGCUAUCCUACAAUGGUCACAUCAUGACAAUCAAGCCAAGGAACAGCUAUUAUUAUCUUCCUUUGGGAAACUAAUAUCUAAAUCGAUAUCAGGCCAUUGACAGACAAUCCAUUUUUUCAUUCAAAAGACUCUACAUAAAAAAAAGAUCCAUCCAGUAAUCACGGAAUCAUUCGGAAUGGUGAAAAUGAAAGAUUGGAAUUAAAAUGGCAAAUAUUCAAAAUCAAAUUGUCUAAAUUCACGACUCAAUUGAAAGCAACUUACAAACACAAGCAAACAUUCAUCAACAAGAUAAAUAACAAUCAAGCUAAUCUUUUAAAUGAUCAACUUAAAUGGUUAACGAAAAGUGAAGGAGCCGUUGAUGGACAUUGUGAAACUUUCUGGUGAAACAACAAAAAGAAGGCAAAAGAAGACGAAAGGGGAAAACCUUGUUCUUCAACCCACUCUUCUUCCCUGGAAUCAUCAUGUUGCUUCUUUUUCUCAAUGAGAUUUUUAUCCUCUUCUCAUCUUCUUGAAAUGCCUGUCCUUUGGCUCACUGGAAACCAUGAAAAUCUUGAAUAAUCCUUGAACAUUAAGGAAUAAUCAAUUGACAAUUAGAUCCGGAUCAAUCAAUUAUACUUCUUAUUUUUUCCUCUUUGUAUCAAAUUGAUGACAACAAUUUUGUUUCAUCAUUUUUCCCUCUCAAUUUGAUUCAUUUGACUCAAUGUGAACAAAACAAUCUAAUUGUUGUGUAAUUAAUCAUCGAAAUCUCUUUUAUAUUCAAUGUUGCUGUAUUUCAAUCUAUUUUGAUUGAUAAUUACUCUUUACUUUUCAUUACUUUCCAUUCAAGUCUAUUCAGUGAUUAAGGUGCACUUUGCCACUUGUUAAUCUUAUUUACUUCAUGAUUAUCAUGAAUUGCCAAGUGAAUGAAUAACUAAAUUUGAUGAAAUGGACUCUUUUGUUGAACUGAUAAAAAAUGCCAUUUUUUCAUGAUGAAAAUAAAGUUGUAACAUUUGUGGUUUCCUCCAACACCUACAAACACCAUUGAAAUAAGUUAUCACCUUAAUUUUAUUCUUAUAGUCAAUUGUA